GAAUGGGUUUGCCGAUAUCGUUUGUCUUACACACAGAAAUGUUGUCCUGGAUAUGGAGGUUCUUCAUGUGAACCUAUAUGCAGCAAUUCCUGCAAUGGGCGAGGUAGUUGUGUUGCCCCUGAAAUCUGUAGCUGUUGGAGUUGGUAUGGAUAUACUGGAAGUUCCUGUCAAAUACCUGUCUGUAAUCCUCGCUGUCAGAAUGGGUUUUGUAGUAGUCCAGGUGUUUGUUCUUGUUAUACUGGGUACACUGGUAGUCGUUGCG